AUUUAGAGGAAGUAAAAGUCGUAACAAGGUCUCCUUUGGUGAACCAGCGGAGGGAUCAUUACAGAGUUGCAAAACUCCCUAAACCAUUGUGAACGUUACCUAAACCGUUGCUUCGGGCGGGCGGGCCCCGGGGUUUACCCCCCGUACGCCCCUAGCCCCACCGCGGAGCGCCCGCCGGAGGUCACCAAACUCUUAUUAAUUUAUGGCCUCUCUGAGUCUUCUAUACUGAAUAAGUCAAAACUUUCAACAACAGGAUCUCUUGGUUCUGGCAUCGAUGAAGAACGCAGCGAAAUGCGAUAAGUAAUGUGAAUUGCAGAAUUCAGUGAAUCAUCGAAUCUUGAACGCACAUGGCGCCCUCCAGUAUUCUUGCGGGCAUGCCUGUUCGAGCGUCAUUUCAACCAUCAAGCCCCCGGGCUUGUGUUGGGGACCUGGCGGCUCCGCAGACCCUGAAAAGCAAUGGCGGGCUGGGCUGUCUCUCCGAUGGGUAGUAGGCAUACAUAUCAACUCUAAAAGGCUCUUGGUCUCUUCGUCAAAGAGAGCAUAUCAACAUAUCAAUAAGCG
rnacentral:rRNA from 1 species